AACGAACGCUGGCGGCAUGCCUAACUCAUGCAAGUCGAACGAGACCUUCGGGUCUAGUGGCGCACGGGUGCGUAACGCGUGGGAACCUGCCCUUAGGUUCGGAAUAACUCUCCGAAAGGGGUGCUAAUACCGGAUAAUGUCUUCGGACCAAAUAUUUAUCGCCUUUGGAUGGGCCCGCGUUGGAUUAGCUAGUUGGUAGGGUAUAAGCCUACCAAGGAGACGAUCCAUAGCUGGUCUGAGAGGAUGAUCAGCCACACUGGGACUGGGACACGGCCCGGACUCCUACGGGAGGCAGCAAUGGGGAAUAGUGGACAAUGGGCGAAAGCCUGAUCCAGCAAUGCCGCGUGAGUGAUGAAGGCCUUAGGGUUGUAAAGCUCUUUUACCCGGGAUGAUAAUGACAGUACCGGGAGAAUAAGCGCCGGCUAACUCCGUG
rnacentral:rRNA from 1 species